UUAGCUCUGAUAUGUCUGGUAUUCUUGGGUUCUGUGAUAACCAGAACUAUUAGACAUAUCGAAGAUCGA
rfam:Nippostrongylus brasiliensis genome assembly, scaffold: NBR_contig0000748